AUUGAACGCUGGCGGCAGGCCUAACACAUGCAAGUCGAGCGGCAGCGGGAAAGUAGCUUGCUACUUUUGCCGGCGAGCGGCGGACGGGUGAGUAAUGCCUGGGGAUCUGCCCAGUCGAGGGGGAUAACUACUGGAAACGGUAGCUAAUACCGCAUACGCCCUACGGGGGAAAGCAGGGGACCUUCGGGCCUUGCGCGAUUGGAUGAACCCAGGUGGGAUUAGCUAGUUGGUGAGGUAAUGGCUCACCAAGGCGACGAUCCCUAGCUGGUCUGAGAGGAUGAUCAGCCACACUGGAACUGAGACACGGUCCAGACUCCUACGGGAGGCAGCAGUGGGGAAUAUUGCACAAUGGGGGAAACCCUGAUGCAGCCAUGCCGCGUGUGUGAAGAAGGCCUUCGGGUUGUAAAGCACUUUCAGCGAGGAGGAAAGGUUGGUAGCUAAUAACUGCCAGCUGUGACGUUACUCGCAGAAGAAGCACCGGCUAACUCCGUGCCAGCCGCCGCGGUAAAAC
rnacentral:rRNA from 1 species